UCCUCAAUACCUAGCCACCCUGAAGAACAAGAAGGAUGGUCCUUCUGGAGGUAUGCUCAUUAUAGAAUCUAAUCUUACGAUUUCUUUUGCAUCCAGUGAGCGAAAAAUUAGUGCAGGGGUAAAAUGGUAAUUUUAAAACUUUUCAAAAUCAUUAUUUUACAGUGAAAAUUAUUAAUUAAUCUAAUUAAUUAAUAAAAAUUUAUCCUACACUAGGAUCUAAAUAUGAUAUAUAGCAU
rnacentral:lncRNA from 1 species